CGGCAUGGCUUUGAUGUGCAUUCGCUUUAAACACCGAAUUACUCCGUCGUAGAACUGAACGGUGAAAGUUCCUAAAACGGGAUUGAGAAUGUCAGGGCGGACGGGACCCGGAGGGCUCCCGGGAAAUCUGAUUGAUGGCUAAGUGAAGGACACGCCUCACGUAAUGAGACUCAAUCCUUUCCCCAGUCCAAAAUAUUCUGCUUGCAACUACAAAAAUCAUCUUCAAUCACUGCUAUUUCCAUCAACGUCUCGCUGCUCUUCCUGGCCCGCUGGUCGCUGAAUCGAAGGGGACUUUCCGACUGUUGCUUCACGCCCUUCUUUCCGGAGGGCGGGUCGCUCGAGGGGCCGCAGCCUAUUGCUGUCCCAGGAGAUCCACUCGUCGUAGCGAUGACUCCAGCGCUCAAAAUGUACCAGCAUCCUCCCCUCCUCGUAAUCCAUCUUUUCGAUGCGCGACGGAUACCUUGAACCACCAGAGGAGAGUCUUACCCGCGAGGUUCCCGCCCACCCCUCGGGGAGGGAGCUGCCGGGGGGGAGACAUCUUUGGCCAUUUAGAAAAAAUAAACAAA